GGUAGAGCUGGCAAAAGCUUACCCAACCCACUAACCCGACCCGAACCCAACCCGUUAUUAAAGGGUUGGGUCAAGAUUUUUCAACUCGUUUAGUUAAAUAGGUCGACCCAACCCAACCCGUUUAUUAAAUGGGUUGGGUCAGGUUGAAAAUUUCAACCCGAAGACAACCCGCCUAACCCGUUUAAUUAUUGGGUCAUAGGUUAACCCGCCAACCCGGCCAAUCCGCCAACCCGUUUAAAAGUUUAAAGAAAAAUUACUGGAUAUCCUAAAUCAUUUUGGGCUUUAUGGUUUGGGCUUCUCUUCUUCUCUACUCAUAUAUAAAGAAAAACCCUAAAAAUCUCUCACAAAUUCACUCUCACGGUCUCCCCUCUCUCAGUCUCUCCUCUCUAACUCUCGCACUCACUCAUUCUCUCACUAUGACUUAAACCCACCGCGCCGCCGCUUGUUGGUUUCCACUCACCCACCACGCCCCUCGUCGGUCUCCGGCUCUCCGCUCACCGCGCCGCUCUCUCACUCACUCCGUCACUCUAAUUCAAUGCAGUACAUUGUUGAAGGUGGAAGAUCAAGUUGAUGUACUUUGUGACUGUGGAUACUCAACCCUCACCCUGCUUCACCAGGAACUCCAACAAGUUUGAUGCUUAGAUAGGGCUAGCGUAUUAUAAACUAGCAUUGAACAAUUACAUAUAUGAGUUUGUAUUUGAAUUUUAGUUUUAUGUCAAGAAUUUCGGAUUUGGUAAUGUAGUAAGCCUUAAUUUCGGAUUUGGUGACUUAUUAAGACUUAAUGACUUGUAACAAUGCAUUCACUAAUUGCAAAUAUUGCCAAUUCGAUUCA